UAUACGAACAGAUUUUCAACAAAAGCAAGGACGUUGCUGUAUUCUUCGUUUUUGAAGCUCCAUACGCACAUAGAAAGCCACUGGACUCCAUGAGUAUAUAACUGAAACGUCCCUCGUCGAUCAAUCUAUCCCCUCCCACAGUCUCAGUCUUUCUGUGUCUUCGUGUGCUCUCAUAUAUCAUCACGAUCUAGGGUUUACCCUAGAUCCGAACGGAACGUAAACUCUCUUGCGGUCUCUCUCCGUGUGACUUCAAACCGGAAUUAUAAAAAGCCAAUGGGAGUAGUCAUUGAGAGCUCCGUUUGGGAACCAAAUCCAUCCAUAUACGUCUUCCUCUUCAUCUGUUGCUGCUUUUCGAUCUGUCUUUUCCCUCAUGCCUCUAACCUCAACAGAACCUCCACGAUCUUCGACCAUGGAAUCUCUUCCUCUUUUCUUCGUUUCCAGCGUAACUUCCUCCUCCUGUAUUCUCUCGCUUCAGUGAUGGAAGGUCUGUGGUCAGUGUUCGGGGAGUUUGAGUUAGCUUCCUAUGGAAUCGGCAGGGAAAAUAUGGUCAUGUCUCUCUGUUAUGGAUAUACAACGGCUCUCUUUGCUGCUCCUUUCCUUGGCGUGCUUUCAGAUUUGACAGGUCACAAGAAAGUUAGUUUAAUCUUUUGCAUCCUACACUUCUUUGUUGGCGUAUGGAAGAAGAUUUCAGAGCAACCAAGCAUUUUUGUGACUAGCAUAUGUCUCUCUCUGGCCAAUACAAUAUUUUCAUUCAAUUUUGAGACUUGGAUGGUCACUCAACAUGAAAAGCAAGGGCACAGGCUAGAUUCCCUUAAUGACACAUAUUGGUUAAUGACUUUCUUUGAGUCUGCAUGUUUUAUUGUCAGCCAAAUGUUUGCAAAUUGGCUGAUUGGGAAUAAUAUGGAGAAAAACACUGCUCCUUCCUCUGCAAUUAUCUUCUUAGCAACCAUAUGCUUCACUUUUCUCACCAGAGGAUGGACAGAAACUCCAGGAACAACAUCUUUUAAGGAAUAUAGUAUGUCCUUCUAUGCAUAUAUUUUUGGUGAUAAAAGGAUAUGGCUGUUGGCAUGGGCACAAACUUGCCUUCACUUCUCCAUUGGAAUUUUUUGGAUCCUUUGGGCACCUACAGUGGUGGCUGAUGGGCGAGAAGUGCAAUUAGGAUUGAUAUAUCCAUGCUUUCUGGGCUCAAGGAUGCUUGGAAGCACUGCAUUUCCAUGUCUCACUAGUGGGCCAUCAUCGCUUAGAACUGAGGACUGCCUAGUAUUUGCAUACGUCAUACUGGCUAUUCUCCUGUCUAUUGUGGCCUUUGACUAUCAGGAAAUUGGAGUUCUGGUGACACUAUUUUGCUUGUUUCAUGCUUGUGUUGGCUUCAUUUUACCUUCACUUGCCAGAUUGAGGACCAUGUAUGUGCCUAAUGAAUUGCGUGGAGGGAUGAUGGGCCUUUCUCUUGCCAUUGCAAAUGCAGCAAUUCUGCUUUCUGUGGUGCAAGGUGGCUAUUAUUGGAAUGUUGGAAAUGCAGCAUUAAUGACGUUUGGCGUGUUUGGUUUAUUGCUAGCAGCUGGUAGCAUGCAUGCCCUGAAGCAAUGGGGGAAGCAACCAUAUAACAACUGGCAUAAACAGUGAAUAUAUAUUCCUUUGGCGAUCUAUGGUAGUGGCAGAUGUUUGUCUCUUUCGUUGUAUGCAAUCAGGUGUAUAGAGAUGAAGAACCUAGAUGAUGCCAAUGCAAGCAACGGGAAAUAAAUUUCAAAAAAAUACCUCAACUACUAGUGAGUGCUGAACUGGACCGACAUUGGGGUCCCUUCUUUUGCAUAUUUUGCUGCUUGGGUUUGCUUAUGGAGGAUAUGAUCAAGCGCACAAGCUUCCGAAGCUGCUAUCAGAAUCUGUAUUUGGUGACAUAUGCCAGUUUCUGUAGAAGUGCGCCUAAAGAUCACAAGGUGAAAAGUGAAUCUUAUGGUUUUGGUUUUGUUAGCAUACUAAGGUUAGUCAGGUGUAAUGGGCUGGGGUUGUUAGUUUAUACUUAACCUAGUUUAUUAGUAUAAUCCAUAACACAUGACUAACCCUGACAUGCUUUAAGUUAUGACCAAAAAAGGUUCAUAGGAAGCUACCAUGAAAACAUUCGAAGCUGUGGUGAUGUCAUUUUUAUUAAUUUGAUUUAGGACACAUUUCAGCUAGUAGGCUUCACUUAUUCUCAUGCCAUUUAGAGCUGUUUGUUAUUGUUAGAGUCGUAAUAUGCAAAUGGGGUCAAUGGCUACGCUAGUCCUAGCUUGGGUUUGAUUUUCAGGUUUUCUUCUUUGAUAGGUGAUAUGUAAUCCUACCAUAAACCCAGGUUGUUAGUCUUCGUUGGCCUUGCAUGGGGGUGUGUCUUCCCCUAGUCUGAACUUUCAUUUAUUAAAAAAAAAGUAAUAAUAAAUUAAAAUAGUUAGAUACACGUGGGAUCAACAGCUAAGAUGGAUGUCGCACUAACACGUGUAUAAGUGUAAGACUUGUUAUUCUUAUUCUGUUAUAAAUUGAUACUUCCAAGAAAAAUCAUUUUAUCUUUUUCUCUUUUGAUAUGCAAAGAUAGCAAGCAGAGACUAAAGAUCCAAGAUAUACCAAGU